GUUGUGGCUCAGCAGUAGAGCGCUCAUCUAGUAUGUGAGAAGUGCUGGGUUAGAUCCUCAGCAAC
rnacentral:tRNA from 1 species